rnacentral:lncRNA from 1 species
CAAAGCAAAGAAGUACCCUUUAGUCUUCAAACAAAGUAGGUGGAUGGCCCCUGAGAAUUUGGGUGUUAUUCACUAAUCAACAUACUUUGAAUCAUUUUUUGUUUCAUAUAACUUUGAAUCUUCAUUAAUUUGAUUUUUUGUAAACAUUAAUUUGAAUUUAAUCCCUUCUUCUUAUGCAAUUAUCUUCCUCAAACAGGUAUGAUUAAUAUAUCUUUUCUUUGUUAGUCAUAUUAUUUUUUUUUUUUUUGCUAAAUGGUAAAUAUCAUUAAUGAAAAUGAAGUUUUGGUUACAAAUUUAAUUGAACCCACAAUCUGCUUAACAGCUGAUUUGAUCCUAGAGACCGCAAAAAAAAUUAAAAAACCCCUAGGAUACACAAGGAUUGAUUCCAAACAUCUAACAAGAGCAAGCUUGAAAUCAAUAUGCAAUAAGAUCAAGAAGACAACAAUGUAGUCACCCUUAUCGUAGCCUUCUUGCAGUAUCUGAACAAAUCAGAAGAAGCAAGAGAAUAGCUGGGAGAAGUUUAGUCGAGAACUCACCGAAGUGGCUCCGAGCAGGCAUCGACGGAAGCGUCUGGCUUACGCCCCGGAGCUCCGCUGGAGAAGGACGUCGACCAACAAAUCCUAGCUAUCUCGACUGAGAGACAAAAGUUCAGACCCGUAGCGACGCUGCUUACACAGAAGCACAAGUUACGGUCAAGCGUAGGCGGUACAGCAGGCUCCAUCACCGCCCACGCGACACAAAGGAUGCAGCAAAGACCACGAAGGAACACUAAAUCACACUGUCGGAGCUUUGAAACAAGGGAAUGAAGCACAUAAGGAGGUUUAACUCUCCUUGAAAACAGGUGGCCUAGAAAGCGAUAGAGGACUCGACCUAUAAGCAAAUGAGUCACCACAUCGGGUUGUUAGUCAUAUUAGGUUAGCACUGUCACUUUCUGUUGCUUAUUAGCUAAUACGCCAAAACUAAAACGCUUGUUUCCUUACGUUACAUGCAUAACUUAUAUUUUCUUUACAUCUUAUUUAAGUUAGGUACUAUUACUAACGGUCAGUCAAAUGCCUUUUUCAUUUCGUUCACAUCUAGAAUUUCAGAGGGC